rnacentral:misc_RNA from 1 species
GAUGAAGAACGCAGCGAAAUGCGAUAAGUAGUGUGAAUUGCAGAAUUCAGUGAAUCAUCGAAUCUUUGAACGCACAUUGCGCCCUUUGGUAUUCCUUAGGGCAUGCCUGUUCGAGCGUCAUUUAAACCUUCAAGCUCAGCUUGGUGAUGGGUGACUGUCCUCCCCUCGCGGGGGGACUUGCCUCAAAAACAUUGGCGGCCGGUACAUUGGCUUCGAGCGCAGCAGAAACGCGGUCUCGAGCCCGGUGGAUCGGCUCCCAUAAGUCUAUUCUUUUAUUUUGACCUCGGAUCAGGUAGGGAUACCCGCUGAACUUAAGCAUAUCAAUAAGCGGAGGA